rnacentral:sRNA from 1 species
CCUCAUUUGCCUGCUGAGGACAUAUCAGAUGGACAUGGGUGUCGAUUCCGCCAGCAGUGAUAAUCUUCCCUUUAGCAUCAAGAAUAUCAGUAUUCGACCCAAUAACCAGCGUCGGGGAGACUCCAUCCAUAGUAUCUGGGUUCCCGGCCUUUCCUAUGCCGGCAAUAAGACCAUCUUUUACACCAAGAUCUGCCUUGAAAAUGCCAGUCCAGUCAAUGACUACAGCAUUUAUAAUAGCUAGAUCUAAGCAUUCUUCAUCAGAACGGCCACUUGCUUGUCCCUGUCCAUCUCUAAG